CUACGAGGACGAACGCGUGGCGGCGUGCUUAACACAUGCAAGUCGAACGGAGGUUAAGGGCUUGCUCCUUAACUUAGGUGGCGGACGGGUGAGUAACGCGUGAGCAACCUGCCUCUAUCUGGGGGAAUAACACAGAGAAAUUUGUGCUAAUACCGCAUAUUAUCCUUUGAGGGCAUCCUCGUUGGAUGAAAGAUUUUAUCGGAUAGAGAUGGGCUCGCGUCCCAUUAGAUAGUUGGUGAGGUAACGGCCCACCAAGUCGACGAUGGGUAGCCGACCUGAGAGGGUGAUCGGCCACAUUGGAACUGAGAAACGGUCCAGACUCCUACGGGAGGCAGCAGUGAGGAAUAUUGGGCAAUGGAGGCAACUCUGACCCAAGCAACGCCGCGUGAAUGAUGAAGGUCUUCGGAUUGUAAAGUUCUGUGAUGGGGGACGAAGAAAGUGACGGUACCCCAAUAGCAAGCCACGGCUAACUACGUGCCAGCCGCAGC
rnacentral:rRNA from 1 species